CACGUAGUUGGCCGGUGCUUCUUCUGCGGGUACCGUCACUUGCGCUUCGUCCCCACUGAAAGAGGUUUACAACCCGAAGGCAGUCAUCCCUCACGCGGCGUUGCUGGAUCAGGCUUCCGCCCAUUGUCCAAUAUUCCCCACUGCUGCCUCCCGUAGGAGUCUGGGCCGUGUCUCAGUCCCAGUGUGGCCGGUCACCCUCUCAGGCCGGCUACCCGUCGAAGCCUUGGUGAGCCAUUACCUCACCAACAAGCUGAUAGGCCGCGAGCACAUCCCCCACCGAAAAAACUUUCCACCACCAUCCCAUGCAGGAAGCGGUCGUAUCCGGUAUUAGACCUCGUUUCCGAGGCUUAUCCCAAAGUGGAGGGCAGAUUACUCACGUGUUACUCACCCGUUCGCCGCUCGUGUACCCCCGAAAGGGCCUUACCGCUCGACUUGCAUGUGUUAAGCACGCCGCCAGCGUUCGUCCUGAGCCAGGAUCAAACUCU
rnacentral:rRNA from 1 species